rnacentral:rRNA from 1 species
AGUGAACGCUGGCGGUAGGCCUAACACAUGCAAGUCGAACGGCAGCACAGGAGAGCUUGCUCUCUGGGUGGCGAGUGGCGGAUGGGUGAGGAAUACAUCGGAAUCUGCCCAGUCGUGGGGGCUAACGUAGGGAAACUUACGCUCAUACCGCAUACGACCUUCGGGUGAAAGAGGGGGAUCGCAAGACCUCUCGCGAUUGGAUGAGCCGAUGUCGGAUUAGCUAGUUGGCGGGGUAAUGGCCCACCAAGGCGACGAUCCGUAGCUGGUCUGAGAGGAUGAUCAGCCACACUGUAACUGAGACACGGUCCAGACUCCUACGGGAGGCAGCAGUGGCGAAUAUUGGACAAUGGGCGCAAGCCUGAUCCAGCCAUACCGCGUGGGUGAAGAAGGCCUUCGAGUUGGAAAGCCCUUUUGUUGAGAAAGAAAUCGUUCAGGCUAAUACCCUGAGAGGAUGACGUUACCCAAAGAAUAAGCACCGGCUAACUUCGUG